UACGUAGGGGGCAAGCGUUGUCCGGAAUCACUGGGCGUAAAGGGCGCGUAGGCGGGGAGGUAAGUCGGGUGUGAAAUCCCUCGGCCCAACCGAGGAACUGCGCCCGAGACUGCUUCUCUUGAGUCCCGGAGAGGAAGAUGGAAUUCCCGGUGUAGCGGUGAAAUGUGUAGAGAUCGGGAGGAACACCGGUGGCGAAGGCGGUCUUCUGGACGGUGACUGACGCUGAGGCGCGAAAGCGUGGGGAGCAAACAGG
rnacentral:rRNA from 1 species